GGAAGAGCAACAGUCCCGUACGGAAAGUAGGAGAGGGAGUAGAUUGGAGCGUGUGCAGCUCAGCCCCAGACACCUGGGAAAGGAAGAUGAAGCUUUGUGUGGAAGUAGGCUCAUUCCCUGCACAGCUCUCCCUCUUUUCUCUUCUAGGGCUGACCAGGGGCAUUCCACAGACUGUGUGUGAUCUACAGGCAGUCAGGACUGUGCUACACCUGGUACUAAAGGCAUUUUGUAGCUACAUGUCGCCCGGAUCCUUUUACCAGAAUCACCUUUGACCGAAAAAAGAUGAGCUCUCAGAUUAAUGCUUGGCAUCAAACAGCAGCUAGCGAAGAGGGGAUUUCUCCUGUCCUGAUCUCUGCAAGAAAACACCAUCUUGCCAAAGGAAGAAACUAAGGUUUACUGAAAGAGCAGUUUCACAGCUAGUUGAUCUUUCUGCUCCUGUGUGGACAAAGGGCAUUUCUGCUUCUGAAACCUUUCUCCCUCCACCUUUCCCCUCAGAACUCCCUCUGCUCCACUUGGAGACUUUCUCCAGGCAGGUGUCUAGGUCAGGGACAGGUUGUGCAUUUCCUCAGACUCUUAUUCUCUGAAAUAAAGGUGAAAAGAACAAAA